UAGUCCACGCCGUAAACGAUGUCUACUUGGAGGUUGUGGCCUUGAGCCGUGGCUUUCGGAGCUAACGCGUUAAGUAGACCGCCUGGGGAGUACGGUCGCAAGAUUAAAACUCAAAUGAAUUGACGGGGCCCGCACAAGCGGUGGAGCAUGUGGUUUAAUUCGAUGCAACGCGAAGAACCUUACCUACUCUUGACAUCCAGAGAACUUUCCAGAGAUGGAUUGGUGCCUUCGGGAACUCUGAGACAGGUGCUGCAUGGCUGUCGUCAGCUCGUGUCGUGAGAUGUUAGGUUAAGUCCUGCAACGAGCGCAACCCUUAUCGUAUGUUGCCAGCAUUUAGUUGGGCACUCGUGCGAGACUGCCGGUNACAAGCCGGAGGAAGGCGGGGACGACGUCAAGUCAUCAUGGCCCUUACGUGUGGGGGCUAGAAACGUGCUACAAUGGGUAUGACAGUGGGCAGCCACUCCGCGAGGAGGCGCUAAUCCCUAAACGUACUCUCAGUUC
rnacentral:rRNA from 1 species